rnacentral:rRNA from 1 species
GACGUAGGGCGCGAGCGUUGUCCGGAUUUAUUGGGCGUAAAGAGCUCGUAGGCGGCUUGUCGCGUCUGCUGUGAAAACCCGAGGCUCAACCUCGGGCCUGCAGUGGGUACGGGCAGACUAGAGUGCGGUAGGGGAGAUUGGAAUUCCUGGUGUAGCGGUGGAAUGCGCAGAUAUCAGGAGGAACACCAAUGGCGAAGGCAGAUCUCUGGGCCGUAACUGACGCUGAGGAGCGAAAGCAUGGGGAGCGAACAGG